GGGGUUGUGGCUCAGUGGUAGAGUGCUUGCUUAUCAUGCGUGAAGAAGCACUGGGUUCAAUCCCCAGCACCCCA
rnacentral:tRNA from 1 species